UUACAAUGGAGAGUUUGAUCCUGGCUCAGGAUGAACGCUAGCGGCAGGCCUAAUACAUGCAAGUCGAACGAUACUUUCCAGCUUGCUGGAGAGGAAAGUGGCGCACGGGUGCGUAACGCGUAUGCAACCUACCUUCAUCAGGGGGAUAGCCCGGAGAAAUCCGGAUUAAUACCGCAUAAAAUCACAGGAUGGCAUUAUCCAAUGAUCAAACAUUUAUGGGAUGGAGAUGGGCAUGCGUGUCAUUAGCUAGUUGGCGGGGUAACGGCCCACCAAGGCGACGAUGACUAGGGGAUCUGAGAGGAUGGCCCCCCACACUGGUACUGAGACACGGACCAGACUCCUACGGGAGGCAGCAGUAAGGAAUAUUGGUCAAUGGAGGCAACUCUGAACCAGCCAUGCCGCGUGCAGGAAGACUGCCCUAUGGGUUGUAAACUGCUUUUAUCCGGGAAUAAACCUAAAUACGUGUAUUUAGCUGAAUGUACCGGAAGAAUAAGGAUCGGCUAACUCCGUGCCAGCAGCCGCGGUAAUACGGAGGAUCCAAGCGUUAUCCGGAUUUAUUGGGUUUAAAGGGUGCGUAGGCGGCCUGUUAAGUCAGGGGUGAAAGACGGUAGCUCAACUAUCGCAGUGCCCUUGAUACUGAUGGGCUUGAAUGGACUAGAGGUAGGCGGAAUGAGACAAGUAGCGGUGAAAUGCAUAGAUAUGUCUCAGAACACCGAUUGCGAAGGCAGCUUACUAUGGUCUUAUUGACGCUGAGGCACGAAAGCGUGGGGAUCAAACAGGAUUAGAUACCCUGGUAGUCCACGCCCUAAACGAUGAACACUCGCUGUUGGCGAUACACAGUCAGCGGCUAAGCGAAAGCGUUAAGUGUUCCACCUGGGGAGUACGCCCGCAAGGGUGAAACUCAAAGGAAUUGACGGGGGCCCGCACAAGCGGAGGAGCAUGUGGUUUAAUUCGAUGAUACGCGAGGAACCUUACCCGGGCUUGAAAGUUAGUGAAUGAUUUAGAGAUAGAUCAGUCCGCAAGGACACGAAACUAGGUGCUGCAUGGCUGUCGUCAGCUCGUGCCGUGAGGUGUUGGGUUAAGUCCCGCAACGAGCGCAACCCCUAUGUUUAGUUGCCAGCAUGUAAUGGUGGGGACUCUAAACAGACUGCCUGUGCAAACAGAGAGGAAGGAGGGGACGACGUCAAGUCAUCAUGGCCCUUACGUCCGGGGCUACACACGUGCUACAAUGGACGGUACAGAGGGCAGCUACAUAGCAAUAUGAUGCGAAUCUCACAAAGCCGUUCACAGUUCGGAUUGGGGUCUGCAACUCGACCCCAUGAAGUUGGAUUCGCUAGUAAUCGCGUAUCAGCAAUGACGCGGUGAAUACGUUCCCGGGCCUUGUACACACCGCCCGUCAAGCCAUGGAAGCUGGGGGUACCUAAAGUAUGUAACCGCAAGGAGCGUCCUAGGGUAAAACCGGUAACUGGGGCUAAGUCGUAACAAGGUAGCCGUACCGGAAGGUGCGGCUGGAAUACCUCCUUUCU
rnacentral:rRNA from 1 species